rnacentral:lncRNA from 1 species
AGGCGCGCUCGGUGUAUGCGACGACAGAGGUGAGGUCGCCGGAAUAGACUCUCCGUCGGGUUCCCUCUUUUUUUUUAUAGUUUGUGUGCCCUAGCUUGAAAUUUCUUCUUCGGUGAAUCGAGUUUGCUGUCGCGUCUACAUCUCUCGCGCUCUCUUCUAUCUCAAUUUCUAUCUCUCUCAAGCUCUCGCUCACUCUCUUCUCCUUUUUUGCGUAGGUCCCCGUCUCUGUCCGGUGCCGAAUCGUCCCCCGCCGCCGCUAGAAACCUCUCACUCCCUAUCUCCUCUCCUGCUCCAUCUAUCUCUCAAUACAUCUCCCUCUCACACAAAUUCAGUCAUUGGUUUUUCUGUCACCAGAGCGUCGCCGCCGCCUUCAUUAAUCGGCAAGGAUAAAUUUGAGGUGAGUUCUUCCCUUCUUUCCGCUUCAUCAUUUUGUAAACAAAAAUCCCUUGUUCCACUAAAUUACUUGGCAGAAUAAUGGUAUUGAGAAUGGUAUGCAGAUUAAGUGUUCGCCGAAAUGCUUGACAGAAGGUUUAGCUGAAUGGGAAUUUGGUAACGAAGAGAAAUGGUGGAAGGGUGGGGCCCACCGAUUCAAUUUUUUAUUUUUAUAUUUAAAAAGGAC